AAAAAGCUCGUAGUUGGAUCAAGAGUUGGACAGUGCACGGUGGCCCCAUUUGUUUAGCUGGCUCCGGUCAGUUAGACGGUGGCGGAACAACCCCGUGCGCCAAACUGUCCACUCUAACAGACCGAAGCGGUUCCCUGUGAGUAGGCUCCUUAAUUGGGGCUGAAAGCGCCUACGCAUCAACCAUAUGCAUACGGGACGUCGGUCAAAGUUACUGUGAACAAACCAGCGUGUCCAAGGCAGGCUUUCGCCUGAAUGUUCGAGCAUGGAAUAACAAGGGAUCGAUUCUCUCGGUUCUUUUUGUUGGUUUUUAACCCGAGAAGGAGAAAUUCAGGCCACGGUGUCUGAGUUGGGUUUCCCAGGGCUUCGGCUCUGGCCCCAAUUAGGCCGUGUCCUUACGGGAUCAAUAGGGACUGACGGGGUCGUACCUACUUCCGCGUCAGAGGUGAAAUUCUUAGAUC
rnacentral:rRNA from 1 species